GACGGAGGGGGCAAGCGUUGUCCGGAAUUAUUGGGCGUAAAGGGCUCGUAGGCGGUUUGUCGCGUCGGGAGUGAAAUCCACUGGCUUAACUGGUGGCUUGCUUUCGAUACGGGCAGACUGGAGGUAUGCAGGGGAGAACGGAAUUCCUGGUGUAGCGGUGAAAUGCGCAGAUAUCAGGAGGAACACCGGUGGCGAAGGCGGUUCUCUGGGCAUGUCCUGACGCUGAGGAGCGAAAGUGUGGGGAGCGAACAGG
rnacentral:rRNA from 1 species